rnacentral:rRNA from 1 species
AUGCUCUCGCGCCAAAUCUGGAGGAUUAUCCAAAAUCUUGACACACUGUGUGCCAAGCUGCUGAAAGCAAAGUACUUCCCCAACACGCAUGUCCUUGAAGCAGUGCCGAAGGAUGGUAUAUCCUAUGCUUGGCGUAGUCCUUUGCAUGGACUCGAGUUGUUCAAGGAGGGCUACAUCUGGCAUAUCGCUGACGGGGCAGAUGUUAACAUCUGGUCCGACCCGUGGAUCCCGCGCCCGUGGUCUCGGCGUGUAAUCACACCAAGAGGAGCACAUCUCCUGGACCGAGUUCAGGACCUGAUAGAUCCAACAACAGGAACGUGGGAUGAACAGCUUGUUCGGGAGAUCUUUUGGGCAGAUGACGCACAACAUAUCCUCAGGAUUCCUCUGAGGGAAGGAGUCCAAGACUUCAUAGCGUGGCAAUAUGAUAAGAAGGGUCUACACUCGGUUAAAAGUGCAUAUAAGCUACAUGCACAGAUCACUAGUAACCAGAAUGGAGGAGGCACGGGGCAGAGUGCCGAGCCGGCCGGAAACAUGGAUUGCACCACUGACGACCAAUGGAAAAGGAUAUGGAAGUUACCAUGCCCGAAGAACAUUCAGAUGUUCGCAUGGCAUAUGAAACACGAGUCGCUUGCCCUUCGCACCAAUAUUGAGCAUAGAGGUAUUCCCAUAGCUGACACGAAGUGCUUGUUUUGUGGGCGUGUGGAUGAAGAUGGCGCACACCUGUUCAUCAAGUGCAAGCCGGUAAAGCCAGGCUGGAGGGACAUGGCUCUGGAGAAGGAGAGAAUGGAGUUGGAGGAUAUUACAUUAGUACAUGCAAUGUUUGACUAUCUUUGGAGACUGGAUGAGAAGAAGAGGCUCCUUAUCAUCACGUUUUGGUGGCUGUGGUGGUCAAACAGAAACAAGCUAAGGGAGGGAAAGCUACCUCUCGAAGCCUCAGCUGUAGCAUGGAAGUCCAGAUGCUCGGUGUUUGAAUAUCAAGACAUUUUCCUGAAGCCACCCAAAAAAUCGUCACCGGAAAAAUGGAGGCCACCAGAGGGGGAUAUGAUUAAGAUAAAUGUUGAUGGGUCCUUUAUGCCUGGUGAAGAUUUCACAGGCUGGGGUGUCGUUGCGAGAACGGCCUCGGGUGACAUUGUGGGUGCCCGGGUGGGGAGGCAGGAGAAUGUCCGGGAUGCGUUUUCUGCGGAAGCUUAUGCUAUAUCACAUGCAGUUUCCUUUCCUGCUGAACUGGGCAUCGUUAAAAUGGUUUUGGACACUGACUCUCAACUUCUCAUGGAGGCCAUGGACCUGCGCAAGGCUGACUCCUCGGCAUAUGCAGCCAUUAUUGAGGACACUAAGUACCAGCUCAAGAUGUGGUUUUCAUCUCAUGUAAUUCUUUUUUGA